AGAGUUCUACUUCUAAGCCUUUUACAUCUAUGUUUAUUUUACUGAAGUAGACACCUGCCGAACAUAAGCAAACAAGCAUAUUAGAAACAGCAUUAAUCCACCACCUCCACAAGAUAACACACCAAAUGUUCCAAGCUUCUUCGAAUAAGAUGUUUGUGCUACAGAUCCAGACCCUGAUAAAAUGCUACUCAAAAACUGAAGGAGAGGUAACUAGUCAACAUCACCAACCACCAAAUCUUGGGAUAUUCUUUACCAAAUAAAAUUGGGAUUGACUAUCACAUUAUUAUGCCCUGUGACUGAAAAAUGGAUCUUGAUGAA